ensembl:misc_RNA
UUACAAAGGGAAAAUACAGGGAGAGAGCUCACCGACUUAUGGAAAAUCAACAAGAAUGGGCCCAAUGUCAGAAACCCCCCUGGUACCAGAAUAAACCCCUUU